AUUGAACGCUGGCGGCAUGCCUUACACAUGCAAGUCGAACGGUAACAGGUCUUCGGAUGCUGACGAGUGGCGAACGGGAGAGUAAUACAUCGGAACGUGCCCGAUCGUGGGGGAUAACGAAGCGAAAGCUUUGCUAAUACCGCAUACGAUCUAAGGAUGAAAGCAGGGGACCGCAAGGCCUUGCGCGAACGGAGCGGCCGAUGGCAGAUUAGGUAGUUGGUGGGAUAAAAGCUUACCAAGCCGACGAUCUGUAGCUGGUCUGAGAGGACGACCAGCCACACUGGGACUGAGACACGGCCCAGACUCCUACGGGAGGCAGCAGUGGGGGAUUUUGGACAAUGGGCGAAAGCCUGAUCCAGCCAUGCCGCGUGCAGGAUGAAGGCCUUCGGGUUGUAAACUGCUUUUGUACGGAACGAAAAGACUCUGGUUAAUACCUGGGGUCCAUGACGGUACCGUAAGAAUAAGCACCGGCUAACUACGUGCCAGCCGCCGCGGUAA
rnacentral:rRNA from 1 species